rnacentral:rRNA from 1 species
UACGAAGGGUGCAAGCGUUACUCGGAAUUACUGGGCGUAAAGCGUGCGUAGGUGGUUCGUUAAGUCAGGGGUGAAAGCCCCGGGCUCAACCUGGGAAUUGCAUUUGAGACUGAAUAGCUAGGGUGCGGAAGAGGGAAGCGGAAUUUCCGGUGUAGCGGUGAAAUGCGUAGAUAUCGGAAGGAACACCAGUGGCGAAAGCGGCUUCCUGGUCCAGCACCGACGUUCAGGCACGAAAGCGUGGGGAGCAAACAGG